rnacentral:rRNA from 1 species
UACGUAGGGGGCGAGCGUUGUCCGGAUUCAUUGGGCGUAAAGAGCUCGUAGGUGGUAAGGCAAGUCAGGUGUGAAAUCUCCGGGCUCAACCCGGAAAUGGCAUUCGAAACUACCUUGCUAGAGGGUUUGAGGGGGGACUGGAAUACUUGGUGUAGCAGUGAAAUGCGUAGAUAUCAAGUGGAACACCAGUGGCGAAGGCGAGUCCCUGGAAAACUCCUGACACUGAGGCACGAAAGCUAGGGGAGCAAACAGG